GACGAACGCUGGCGGCGUGCUUAACACAUGCAAGUCGAACGAGGUCCAUGCAGUCGCAAGACUGCGGAAGAUCUAGUGGCGAACGGGUGCGUAACACGUGAGAAACCUGUCCCGGUCUCUGGAAUAACAAGUGGAAACACUUGCUAAUACCGGAUGCCGUCGGACCAUCGCAUGAUGGACUGACGAAAGGGCUACCGGAUCGGGAGGGUCUCGCGGCCUAUCAGCUUGUUGGUGAGGUAACGGCUCACCAAGGCAUCGACGGGUAGCUGGUCUGAGAGGAUGAUCAGCCACACUGGGACUGAGACACGGCCCAGACUCCUACGGGAGGCAGCAGUGGGGAAUCUUGCACAAUGGGCGAAAGCCUGAUGCAGCAACGCCGCGUGCGGGAAGAAGGCCCUAGGGUUGUAAACCGCUUUCAGCAGGGAAGAAACUGACGGUACCUGUAGAAGAAGGUGCGACCAACUACGUG
rnacentral:rRNA from 1 species